rnacentral:lncRNA from 1 species
GAAAAUUUCUGUUUAGCAUAUUUCACAACGCAAAAAUGGGUUGGUGUGGAAGAACGACAAUGAAUCUGACUCGUUUUCCUCCACCGCUGGUGACAUCGGUGAGUUGAACGGCUCAGACCACUGCGCCACCCAAAGAAUUGUCUCGUCUCAAUGCCGGACUGAGGAAGUUGAGCCGGGAAAAUUCAUUCGUAAGUGCGAGAAUACCGAGAAGGUUUUUAAACACUGCGUUGGAGGGUAAAUUAAAUUAAAAUUGUGUUAGAAAUCCAAAAAAUCGAUUUCUACAUAUAUUUAUAUGCUUGUUUCGUGUUGUUAUUCGAUUUCUGUAAAAGUAUGUGAUUAUUAGAGAAAGUGAUGAUUUUAUAUAUUUUCUAGGCCAACAAAUUUUGGUUUAAAACAUCUUUAUUAUUAUUUUUUUCCCUGAAAUUUAAUCACUUGUCUAGUCUGUUUUGAGUAUAAGGAUUUAUGAACUUAUUGAUCUUUUUGUUUUUCGCCGUUAUUGUAAUUUAUAUGCAUCAAAAUAGGCUUAUUUGAAUACUAUUUGGAGUGAUAUUCAAUGAAUUUUUGCUGAAAUUGAAGUUUGGGGUGCUGUUGAAGAUUGUUGGAGGGGAAAUUCCUGCCUUAAUAACAAUUUAUUGCUUAAACUAUUUACGAACACGGUCUAAACACGUGAACGAAGUGGUUAACAAUAUAAGAUUUCAGUAUAAUUUGAAUAAAAAUGAGAUUUAGGAAACUCCGUGCCGUCAUGCUUGUGAAUAAUUAGGACAAAAGGAUAACUGUGUACAUGUGAAUAUGUAAAACAGGAAUGUUUUUUAUUGUUAAAUCUUGAAGAAAUAGAAAAGAACCAUGAUAUUUGCCCCUUCAUAUUGUGUGUGAUGUUUAUUUUGUGGCAUGCUAGUGAUACUGCUUACUAUCAUUAACUAAAAUUGCGUGCUUGAAAGUUUUAGUAUAGGGAAGAAAACGUAGCUAAAGCUAAUCUAAUUUUUGGAGAAGACCAUAGAGAAAUUCAGGAAACUCUGCGAAGUAGGCUUGUUCUUGAAGCACUACCUUGUCAUAAUUUUGCUAGAGGCAUAGCUUUACACAACCAUAUAUUUUAGAAUCCAUUAAAGAGGUUAAUUGCCAUAAUGAUAUUGACUAAUUGGAAAUGAUAUCUUUGUAUUGGAAUGGACCUGAUCACUUUUACCCAUGCCAAGUGCCGAUUAAGUACAAAUGUUGGAGAGAGCUAGGUAGCUUGGAUACCAGAAUCACAUUGGGGAUAAACAGGUUCCCUUACAUGAGAUAAAUUAACAACCAUUUGAUGAAAAUUAUGGCUGAAUGCUUUCUUUGUAUGUGCAGCUACAUCAUGUUGACUAGUUUCUCUUUUUCAUAUACACAUUAUUUCAACAAUAUCAAUUCUAUGGCCGAAACUCUCAAGCUAUUUCUUGUAUCCACCUUCUAUCCUAAUGCGCAAGACUAAAGUAAAACCGACUCCUUUUUGGCACUAGUAGAAUGUAUUAGAUGCUUGUUUCAUAAUAAUGUGAUGCACUGGGACUGUCACAUGCUGUUUGCCUCCCAGAAUUUUGAAGAUUCUGCUUUAUACUUCUAAUAACUUGAACAUAUGGCUGUACAUAAUCCCCCUUCUCCCCUUUUUCUUCUCCUUUACUAAUCAGAGUUUUAACAGUAUGGACUGCUCUUUAUCCUCUCCUUGUGUCUUUAUGUUUCUAUAGAAAUCCCUCAGGACUGUGCUGUAUGUAGUGAGGUCUAUCAUGUAGGGGUAUUGUUAAAAUAUAUGGUUCCUUGACACAGUAACAUUGUAUAUACAAUCUGUAACGUAGACUGAUUGUUUCUUUCUCUAAAUCUUUUCUUCUUUUCUCAGGCCUAAUGAGAUAGUACAGUCUAACAAAUAAUACACUGAGGAAGAUGUAACAGAUCAACUGGUUAAAGGGUCGUUCCCAUUGGAGUCAUCUGAACAGGGAUCCUCACACUUUCCUGGAUUACGUGGUGAUAUUGAAGCCAUUGAACGUAUUUUCUUUGGCAGUAUAAACCAUUUCUUUAAAGGAGCUGAAGAGAUUAAAAUUGAUUUCUUUAAUACAACUGCGGUUCCUCAAAUAUUUGAUGACGAUUUUUCAUCCUCUCGCACCGAGCGUGGAAUUCCCAUUGAACGUUAACCUCCUAAAGAAGCCCCUCCCAAUAGAAAUUCUGAUGGAGAUGUUGAUCUUCUGGGUUGGCCAGAGAUGUUUGAUGCAUAGCUAUCUUGAGUUUCACUCGUGUACAUUUUAAUAAGGGCCAAUCUGAUAGGCUCCAUUUUUCACCCAAAUGCAAAAUUUUUUGUGGAAUUAGUUUUCCACCCAACAUUCUGUUAAGUAUUUGGGUUGCCUCACAUUCUUGGUCCAUGACAUUUGGGCCUAUGUUGCUGAUUCUGGAUAAUGGUCCAACUCGGGUGAAGAAAACAUGGUUCUUAUAAACACGCAUCUUCAUUUAAUUGAUGCUUUGAUCUGGUCAUACACUUGGCCAUCUCUUCUCUCUAUCCACACCGUGUACUCUUUGUGAGUUUUUGAUCUGAAAAUUCGAGUGACUCUGACAUUCUACAUUUGAUGUAUAUUGUGAGAAAGGUUUUUAGUGAUAUGGUGUGGUUUUGUAUUGUAUGUUGUGG